AUGAUGUAUUUUUGCAUGCUUUCUGCAGUCUAUGCAUGUUCGUGGUUAUACAGGUUGGAGCCUGCAACUGAUAAUAAGCUCAGUCUUAAUCUAUGCAUUGUUCUACAUGUUUGUUGGCAGAUAGAGAUAAAAAGGGAAAGUGAACAUAUGGUGAUUGAAUUUACUUCCUGCAUCUAUAGUAUUUUACACCAAUGCAACAUUUGUGAAAUCGAGAUAGUAUAUUUAUUUGCCACAUGUAUUGUGUUGCCCCUGAAUGUAAUACUGUUCGGUUAUAUCUUGGUAUUUACGUUAUCUGAAUCACUUCGUUUUGAUACGUGCAUUGCCAUUUUCAAAAGUAUAUCCAUUGUUCCUUCCUGGUGGUCAAGUGGCAAUGCAGAGCAUGCUGGUGAACUUUCAAACUCAUCUGCUUUCGUGUUGAUGAUAUGUAGACAAAAGAGCAAGACAUAG
rnacentral:rRNA from 1 species